GCGCGGCGCGCGCGGCGGCUGCAGGGGGACGUGAGGCCCGUGAGGUCGAUGCCAGGGAUGCGAGGGGCUCACAGCGACAGCCGGCUCCCGGCUUGUCUGGAUGCUCUGAUUAGCAAGACCUACUGGGAUAAGAGACUGGAAGUGAGAGGAAGAAUGACAAAUCAGAUGCUUUCUCUCACUGGAACAUCCGAGCCAGACACUUCUCCACCGGCGAUGUUGUUUGGGCCACGGCUGCUGCCUGCUCGCCU